ACCCUCAUCUUCUACAUUGCUCAGGCCGGCUCUGUGAAAUUUCAUUGGCCCAGCCUCUCUGCUUUAUAUUCAAGUUUAGCGGCAACGCUUCCUCUCUCUAAAACUCUCUGUCUCUCUCUCUGCCCCUUUCUGUCUCUAGCUAGAACCAUCUUUUCUCUCUCUAAAAUUUCAGUAUUUCCAUCUGUGUCCCCUCUGAUGGUUCAAUUCGUACCUCCGAUCUGUCAUUUUUAGGGUUUCGGUGGGCGCAAUUGUUCGAAUUGAGUUUAUUUUUUUGGUAGUUGUGGACUUUGGCUGUGAAAACUAGGUUUCGGUGUGGGAGGCCAUGUCACAUCACACUUUGAAAUUGGUGUAUGAUGACAUUAAUAAGAUGGUUUGCAUUUCAAAUUAGGCUAAUUAUUAUACUAUAUACUAAAGCCCGGUUGGCUGGUUACAGUAGUUCUUAAGAGACUGAAAAGACGGUUCUGCCCUCAUUUGGAUUUUUUUUACGCCUCUGCCACUGACCUUUUUUUUUCCACUCUCUUCCUCGGUUCGAUCAAACAUCUCUAAUCUCAUUUGAAGAUCCGCGGCUCCACCGGAAGUCUCCGAUUCGGUUAUUUUCUGAUAAGUCUGGACUAUCAAGGUUAGCCACUGGGAUCAACAGCGAUAAAGCCUUUUUUCUCUGUGUUGUUCGCCCAACACAGAGAAAGAGAGAGAGAGAGAGAGAGAGAGAGAGAAGAGAACGGGGAAGAAGGAAAAGAAGGAGAAGAGAGAGACGGGAAGCUCUUGCUUAAAAGAAAACAAGUGAAAGGUUGUGCUCACUACUACUGUUCCUCUUUCAAGUGAAUUCUCUCUCAGAUCAUCUGUGUUCCAGGUGAGUUUUUUUUAGAAGCUUUGUAGAUGAUCUCAUAGCAUAGGUAGUUGGACUUGCCGUUCUAUUCCGAUCGUUGUUUGCGUCAGAUUUGUAUUCCAUCUCCAGCAUCAUCAGACUCCUAUUCAAUCUUCAGCAUCAGAGAUCUUUGCAAUCAUCGUCUGCUCUUUGCAUCCGACUUCUAUUCGAUCUUUAUCAUCUGUUCUUUUUGUUUAAUCUUGGUGACUGGAUUGGUUUUGGGUAGACGAAGCUUGGGGCCAGCAAGGGUAAGUGGUUUUGAAUUUUUUCACAGUUUUUUUCUGAUUGAUUGAAGCUUUAGCUAGUUGGUUUUUGUGGAUUUGUGGUUUGAUUCAUAGACUCUUUUCAGCUGUUCAGAUUUUUCAUUGAUCAAUUUCCCAAUUUUCAAGGACAGUUUCAGAUUGGAUUGUGGUUUGCAAAAGCCUGAGGGCAUUUUCGAUCGCUGUUGACCUUCCAUAAGGUAGUUUAAAGAUUGAACAUAGAUCAGUUGCUUUGAGAUAAAAUUAUUCAGUCUUUAUAAGAGAUCAACCACUCAGAUACAAAAGACAAGACGGCAAAUCAGAUUGUGUGCGUUUUGGAAAAGCAAAAAAAAUUCUCUGGACAUGCUCACAAAAAAAAACUUAGCUGACCAAAACAGAAUCAGCAGGAGGCUACCUGAAACUAAUCAAUUUACAUCUAGAAGCUCCCAAAUUAAAAUUCCACUGAUAGUCUGAGAGGAAGAUUUGACUAAAAUCAAAUAGAAAAGGAGCUUACUGAUUCAGCGAAGCACAAUAGAACGGCUUUGAGUCUGAGUUUAUUUGAGGAUCUUCACUUACAGAGGUUGCUCUCUAGAAAAAGAGAGGAGACAAAACAAAGAGAGAGAGAAAAGAACAGGGAAUAAGGAAAAGAAGCAGAAGAGAGAGGCGGAAAGUUGUUACUCAAAACAAAACAAGUGGAAGGUAUCAAGUGCUCGACAAACCAAGAGAGGCCAACACCUUAUGAAAUGAUUAUCUAAAAGCAUCAAAAGAGCAUUCUACCUGCAAUCACUCUUUAGCUGGAGACUGAAACGCAAGACACACCUAAAGAAUAGUUUAUCCCUUCCUUGAGUCAAAAAAUGUCUUGGUUGUAUCUAAGCAGACCAUUCUACUUGGUGUGGAGGUAGUGCAGUAGCUGCUCAUGUUCUACAACUGCAGCAAUUGGAUGUUCACUGAUACACAGAUUUGGAAGCUUAAGAUAUUGCGCUCCAAGGAACUUCAGAAUGACAAGCCAAACCGCUAAUUUUUUAGCCAACAUCCAUCAAACAGUUCUCAUUAUUGUCUUUCAUCUAUUGCUUUAUUAGCCGAUACAUACCAAGUUUGAUUUGAAGUUAUUGAUUCCAGUGAGAAAUUCGUGUAACAUAUUUUAAUCAUUCUUUAAUGAAGGUUUGCAACAGAAACAUUCUGCUAUGUAAUGUUAUCCCAGUAACAUAUAACAGUAAUUCCCGCAGCAAAGCCCGGGCAAAUAUAACUAGUGCAAAACAAUGACCAAUCACUAUACUGGAUAGUGAAUAUUCUAGUAAAUUUUUUUUACUUAA